UACGUAGGUGGCAAGCGUUGUCCGGAAUUAUUGGGCGUAAAGCGCGCGCAGGCGGUUUUGUAAGUUUGUCGUGAAAGCCCCGGGCUCAACCUGGGAAUUGCGAUGAAGACUGCAAGGCUUGAAUCUGGCAGAGGGGGGUAGAAUUCCACGUGUAGCAGUGAAAUGCGUAGAGAUGUGGAGGAACACCGAUGGCGAAGGCAGCCCCCUGGGUCAAGAUUGACGCUCAUGCACGAAAGCGUGGGGAGCAAACAGG
rnacentral:rRNA from 1 species